rnacentral:lncRNA from 1 species
AGGCGCGGGCGAAGUUCGUCCGCCGGACUCGGAAUGGGACGAGACUUUGUGAGUGGCCUCAUGGUGCCCGCUAGAAGUUGCGGGCACAGCCGCUCCCAAAAGUAAGCGCCCGAAGGUCGUGGUGCCAAAACCCCCAGCGGAAAAAUGGACAAAAAACGGGUGGGCUAUAGCCUUGGUGGGGGGCGCGGGCGAAGUUCGUCCGCCGGACUCGGAAUGGGACGAGACUUUGCGAGUGGCCUCAUGGUGCCCGCUAGAAGUAGCGGGCACAGCCGCGCCCAAAAAUAAGCGCCCGAAGGUCGUGGUGCCAAAAUCCCCCCGCGGAAAAAUGGCCAAAAAACGGGUGGGCUAUAGCCUUGUUGGGGGGCGCGGGCGAAGUUCGUCCGACGGACUCGGAAUGGGGCGAGACUUUGCGAGGGGCCUCGGGGUGCCCGUUGGAAGUCGCGGGCACAGCCGCGCCCAAAAAUAAGCGCCCGAAGGUCGUGGUGCCAAAACCCCCCAGCGGAAAAAUGGCCAAAAAACGGGUGGGCUAUAGCCUUGGUGGGGGUCGCGGGCGAAGUUCGUCCGCCGGACUCGGAAUGGGGCGAGACUUUGCGAGGGGCCUCGGGGCGCCAAAAAUAAGCCGCGGGCAAAGCCGCGCCCAAAAAUAAGCGCUCGAAGGUCGUGGUGCCAAAACCCCCCAGCGGAAAAAUGGCCAAAAAACGGGUGGGCUAUAGCCUUGGUGGGGGGCGCGGGCGAAGUUCGUCUGACGGACUCGGAAUGGGGCGAGACUUUGCGAGGGGCCUCGGGGUGCCCGUUGGAAGUCACGGGCACAGCCGCGCCCAAAAAUAAGCGCCCGAAGGUCGUGGUGACAAAACCCCCCAGCGGAAAAAUGGCCAAAAAACGGGUGGGCUAUAGCCUUGGUGGGGGUCGCGGGCGAAAUUCGUCCGCCGGACUCGGAAUGGGGCGAGACUUUUGCGAGGGGCCUCGGGGCGACAAAAAUAAGCCGCGGGCAAAGCCGCGCCCAAAAAUAAGUGCCCGAAGGUCGUGGUGCCAAAACCCCCCAGCGGAAAAAUGGCCAAAAAACGGGUGGGCUAUAGCCUUGGUGGGGGGCGCGGGCGAAGUUCGUCUGACGGACUCGGAAUGGGGCGAGACUUUACGAGGGGCCUCGGGGUGCCCGUUGGCAGUCACGGGCACAGCCGCGCCCAAAAAUAAGCGCCCGAAGGUCGUGGUGCCAAAACCCCCCAGCGGAAAAAUGGCCAAAAAACGGGUGGGCUAUAGCCUUGGUGGGGGUCGCGGGCGAAGUUCGUCCGCCGGACUCGGAAUGGGGCGAGACUUUGCGAGGGGCCUCGGGGCGACAAAAAUAAGCCGCGGGCAAAGCCGCGCCCAAAAAUAAGUGCCCGAAGGUCGUGGUGCCAAAACCCCCCAGCGGAAAAAUUGCCAAAAAACGGGUGGGCUAUAGCCUUGGUGGGGGGCGCGGGCGAAGUUCAUCCGCCGGACUCGGAAUGGGGCAAGACUUUGCGAGGGGCCUCGGGGUGCCCGCGGGAAGUCGCGGGCACAGCCGCGCCCAAAAAUAAGCGCCCGAAGGUCGUGGUGCCUAAACCCCCCAGCGGAAAAAUGGCCAAAAAACGGGUGGGCUAUAGCCUUGGUGGGGGGCGCGGGCGAAGUUCGUCCGCCGGACUCGGAAUGGGACGAGACUUUGCGAGUGGCCUCGGGGUGCCCGCGGGAAGUAGCGGGCACAGCCGCGCCCAAAAAUAAGCGCUCGAAGGUCGUGGUGCCAAAACCCCCCAGCGGAAAAAUGGCCAAAAAACGGGUGGGCUAUAGCCUUGGUGGGGGGCGCGGGCGAAGUUCGUCCGCCGGACUGGGAAUGGGGCGAGACUUCGCGAGGGGCCUCGGGGUGCCCGCGGGAAGUCGCGGGCACAGCCCCGCCCAAAAAUAAGCGCCCGAAGGUCGUGGUGCCAAAACCCCCCAGCGGAAAAAUGGCCAAAAAACGGGUGGGCUAUAGCCUUGGUGGGGGGCGCGGGCGAAGUUCGUCCGCCGGACUCGGAAUGGGGCGAGACUUUGCGAGGGGCCUCAGGGUGCCCGCGGGAAGUCGCGGUCACAGCCCCGCCCAAUAAUAAGCGCCCGAAGGUCGUGGUGCCAAAACCCCCCAGCGGAAAAAUGGCCAAAAAACGGGUGGGCUAUAGCCUUGGUGGGGGGCGCGGGCGAAGUUCGUCCGCCGGACUCGGAAUGGGGCGAGACUUUGCGAGGGGCCUCGGGGUGCCAAAAAUAAGCCGCGGUCAAAGCCGCGCCCAAAAAUAAGCUCCCGAAGGUCGUGGUGCCAAAACCCCCCAGCGGAAAAAUGGCCAAAAAACGGGUGGGCUAUAGUCUUGGUGGGGGGCGCGGGCGAAGUUCGUCCGGCGGACUCGGAAUGGGGCGAGACUUUGCGAGGGGCCUCGGGGCGCCAAAAAUAAGCCGCGGGCAAAGCCGCGCCCAAAAAUAAGUGCCCGAAGGUCGUGGUGCCAAAACCCCCCAGCGGAAAAAUGGCCAAAAAAUGGGUGGGCUAUAGCCUUGGUGGGGAGCGCGGGCGAAGUUCGUCCGCCGGACUCGGAAUGGGGCGAGACUUUGCGAGGGGCCUCGGGGCGCCAAAAAUAAGCCGCGGGCGAAGCCGCGCCCAAAAAUAAGUGCCCGAAGGUCGUGGUGCCAAAACCCCCCAGCGGAAAAAUGGCCAAAAAACGGGUGGGCUAUAGCCUUGGUGGGGGGCGCGUGCGAAGUUCGUCCGCCGGACUCGGAAUGGGGCGAGACUUUGCGAGGGGCCUCGGGGCGCCAAAAAUAAGCUACGGGCAAAGCCGCGCCCAAAAAUAAGUGCCCGAAGGUCGUGGUGCCAAAACCCCCCAGCGGAAAAAUGGCCAAAAAAUGGGUGGGCUAUAGCCUUGGUGGGGGGCGCAGGCGAAGUUCGUCCGCCGGACUCGGAAUGGGGCGAGACUUUGCGAGGGGCCUCGGGGCGCCAAAAAUAAGCCGCGGGCAAAGCCGCGCCCUAAAAUAAGUGCCCGAAGGUCGUGGUGCCAAAACCCCCCAGCGGAAAAAUGGCCAAAAAAUGGGUGGGCUAUAGCCUUGGUGGGGAGCGCGGGCGAAGUUCGUCCGCCGGACUCGGAAUGGGGCGAGACUUUGCGAGGGGCCUCGGGGCGCCAAAAAUAAGCUACGGGCAAAGCCGCGCCCAAAAAUAAGUGCCCGAAGGUCGUGGUGCCAAAACCCCCCAGCGGAAAAAUGGCCAAAAAAUGGGUGGGCUAUAGCCUUGGUGGGGGGCGCGGGCGAAGUUCGUCCGCCGGACUCGGAAUGGGGCGAGACUUUGCGAGGGGCCUCGGGGCGCCAAAAAUAAGCCGUGGGCAAAGCCGCGCCCAAAAAUAAGUGCCCGAAGGUCGUGGUGCCAAAACCCCCCAGCGGAAAAAUGGCCAAAAAAUGGGUGGCUAUACCCUUGGUGGGAGCGCGGGCGAAGUUCGUCCGCCAGGACUCGGAAUGGGGCGAGACUUUGCGAGGGGCCUCGGGGCGCCAAUAAUAAGCCGCGGGCAAAGCCGCGCCCAAAAAUAAGUGCCCGAAGGUCGUGGUGCCAAAACCCCCCAGCGGAAAAAUGGCCAAAAAAUGGGUGGGCUAUAGCCUUGGUGGGGAGCGCGGGCGAAGUUCGUCCGCCGGACUCGGAAUGGGGCGAGACUUUGCGAGGGGCCUCGGGGCGCCAAAAAUAAGCCGCGGGCAAAGCCGCGCCCAAAAAUAAGUGCCCGAAGGUCGUGGUGCCAAAACCCCCCAGCGGAAAAAUGGCCAAAAAAUGGGUGGGCUAUAGCCUUGGUGGGGGGCGCGGGCGAAGUUCGUCCGCCGGACUCGGAAUGGGGCGAGACUUUGCGAGGGGCCUCGGGGCGCCAAAAAUAAGCCGUGGGCAAAGCCGCGCCCAAAAAUAAGCGCCCGAAGGUCGUGGUGCCAAAACCCCCCAGCGGAAAAAUGGCCAAAAAACGGGUGGGCUAUAGCCUUGGUGGGGGGCGCAGGCGAAGUUCGUCCGCCGGACUCGGAAUGGGGAGAGACUUUGCGAGGGGCCUCGGGGUGCCCGCGGGAAGUCGCAGGCACAGCCGCGCCAAAAAAUAAGCGCCCGAAGGUUGUGGUGCCAAAACCUCCCAGCGGAAAAAUGGCCAAAAAACGGGUGGACUAUAGCCUUGGUGGGGGGCGCGGGCGAAGUUGGUCCGCCGGACUCGGAAUGGGGCGAGACUUUGCGAGGGGCCUCGGGGUGCCAAAAUAAGCCGCAGGCAAAGCCGCGCCCAAAAAUAAGUGCCCGAAGGUCGUGGUGCCAAAACCCCCCAGCGGAAAAAUGCUAAAAAAUGGGUGGGCUAUAGCCUUGGUGGGGAGCGCGGGCGAAGUUCGUCCGCUGGACUCGGAAUGGGGCGAGACUUUGCGAGGGGCCUCGGGGCGCCAAAAAUAAGCCGCGGGCAAAGCCGCGCCCAAAAAUAAGUGCCCGAAGGUCGUGGUGCCAAAACCCCCCAGCGGAAAAAUGGCCAAAAAAUGGGUGGGCUAUAGCCUUGGUGGGGGGCGCGGGCGAAGUUCGUCCGCCGGACUCGGAAUGGGGCGAGACUUUGCGAGGGGCCUCGGGGUGCCCGCGGGAAGUCGCGGGCACAGCUGCUCCCAAAAGUAAGCGCCCGAAGGUCGUGGUGCCAAAACCCCCAGCGGAAAAAUGGCCAAAAAAUGGGUGGGCUAUAGCCUUGGUGGGGGGCGCGGGCGAAGUUCGUCCGCCGGACUCGGAAUGGGGCGAGACUUUGCAAGGGGCCUCGGGGUGCCCGCGGGAAGUAGCGGGCAAAGCCGCGCCCAAAAAUAAGCGCCCGAAGGUCGUGGUGCCAAAACCCCCCAGCGGAAAAAUGGCCAAAAAACGGGUGGGCUAUAGCCUUGGUGGGAGGCGCGGGCGAAGUUCGUCCGCCGGACUCGGAAUGGGGCGAGACUUUGCGAGGGUCCUCGGGGUGCCAAAAAUAAGCCGCGGACAAAGCCGCGCCCAAAAAUAAGUGCCCGAAGGUCGUGGUGCCAAAACCCCCCAGCGGAAAAAUGGCCAAAAAACGGGUGGGCUAUAGCCUUGGUGGGGGGCGCGGGCGAAGUUCGUCCGCCGGACUCGGAAUGGGGCAAGACUUUGCGAGGGGCCUCGGGGUGCCCGCGGGAAGCCGCGGGCACAGCCGCGCCCAAAAAUAAGCGCCCGAAGGUCGUGGUGCCUAAACCCCCCAGCGGAAAAAUGGCCAAAAAACGGGUGGGCUAUAGCCUUGGUGGGGGGCGCGGGCGAAGUUCGUCCGCCGGACUCGGAAUGGGGCGAGACUUUGCGAGUGGCCUCGGGGUGCCCGCGGGAAGUAGCGGGCACAGCCGCGCCCAAAAAUAAGCGCUCGAAGGUCGUGGUGCCAAAACCCCCCAGCGGAAAAAUGGCCAAAAAACGGGUGGGCUAUAGCCUUGGUGGGGGGCGCGGGCGAAGUUCGUCCGCCGGACUGGGAAUGGGGCGAGACUUUGCGAGGGGCCUCGGGGUGCCCGCGGGAAGUCGCGGGCACAGCCCCGCCCAAAAAUAAGCGCCCGAAGGUCGUGGUGCCAAAACCCCCCAGCGGAAAAAUGGCCAAAAAACGGGUGGGCUAUAGCCUUGGUGGGGGGCGCGGGCGAAGUUUCGUCGCCGGACUCGGAAUGGGGCGAGACUUUGCGAGGGGCCUCGGGGUGCCAAAAAUAAGCCGCGCUCAAAGCCGCGCCCAAAAAUAGCGCCCGAAGGUCGUGGUGCCAAAACCCCCCAGCGGAAAAAUGGCCAAAAAACGGGUGGGCUAUAGCCUUGGUGGGGGGCGCGGGCGAAGUUCGUCCGCCGGACUCGGAAUGGGGCGAGACUUUGCGAGUGGCCUCGGGGUGCCCGCGGGAAGUCGCGGGCACAGCCGCGCCCAAAAAUAAGCGCUCGAAGUUCGUGGUGCCAAAACCCCCCAGCGGAAAAAUGGCCAAAAAACGGGUGGGCUAUAGCCUUGGUGGGGGGCGCGGGCGAAGUUCGUCCGCCGGACUCGGAAUGGGGCGAGACUUUGCGAGGGGCCUCAGGGUGCCCGCGGGAAGUCGCGGUCACAGCCCCGCCCAAUAAUAAGCGCCCGAAGGUCGUGGUGCCAAAACCCCCCAGCGGAAAAAUGGCCAAAAAACGGGUGGGCUAUAGCCUUGGUGGGGGGCGCGGGCGAAGUUCGUCCGCCGGACUCGGAAUGGGGCGAGACUUUGCGAGGGGCCUCGGGGUGCCAAAAAUAAGCCGCGGUCAAAGCCGCGCCNNNNNNNNNNNNNNNNNNNNNNNNNNNNNNNNNNNNNNNNNNNNNNNNNNNNNNNNNNNNNNNNNNNNNNNNNNNNNNNNNNNNNNNNNNNNNNNNNNNNNNNNNNNNNNNNNNNNNNNNNNNNNNNNNNNNNNNNNNNNNNNNNNNNNNNNNNNNNNNNNNNNNNNNNNNNNNNNNNNNNNNNNNNNNNNNNNNNGAAGGUCGUGGUGCCAAAACCCCCCAGCGGAAAAAUGGCCAAAAAAUGGGUGGGCUAUAGCCUUGGUGGGGGGCGCGGGCGAAGUUCGUCCGCCGGACUCGGAAUGGGGCGAGACUUUGCGAGGGGCCUCGGGGGGCCAAAGAUAAGCCGCGGGCAAAGCCGCGCCCAAAAAUAAGCGCCCGAAGGUCGUGGUGCCAAAACCCCCCAGCGGAAAAAUGGCCAAAAAACGGGUGGGCUAUAGCCUUGGUGGGGGGCGCGGGCGAAGUUCGUCCGCCGGACUCGGAAUGGGGCGAGACUUUGCGAGGGGCCUCGGGGCGCCAAAAAUAAGCCGCGGGCAAAGCCGCGCCGAAAAAUAAGUGCCCGAAGGUCGUGGUGCCAAAACCCCCCAGCGGAAAAAUGGCCAAAAAAUGGGUGGGCUAUAGCCUUGGUGGGGAGCGCGGGCGAAGUUCGUCCGCUGGACUCGGAAUGGGGCGAGACUUUGCGAGGGGCCUCGGGGCGCCAAAAAUAAGCCGCGGGCAAAGCCGCGCCCAAAAAUAAGUGCCCGAAGGUCGUGGUGCCAAAACCCCCCAGCGGAAAAAUGGCCAAAAAAUGGGUGGGCUAUAGCCUUGGUGGGGGGCGCGGGCGAAGUUCGUCCGCCGGACUCGGAAUGGGGCGAGACUUUGCGAGGGGCCUCGGGGUGCCCGCGGGAAGUCGCGGGCACAGCUGCUCCCAAAAGUAAGCGCCCGAAGGUCGUGGUGCCAAAACCCCCAGCGGAAAAAUGGCCAAAAAAUGGGUGGGCUAUAGCCUUGGUGGGGGGCGCGGGCGAAGUUCGUCCGCCGGACUCGGAAUGGGGCGAGACUUUGCAAGGGGCCUCGGGGUGCCCGCGGGAAGUAGCGGGCAAAGCCGCGCCCAAAAAUAAGCGCCCGAAGGUCGUGGUGCCAAAACCCCCCAGCGGAAAAAUGGCCAAAAAACGGGUGGGCUAUAGCCUUGGUGGGAGGCGCGGGCGAAGUUCGUCCGCCGGACUCGGAAUGGGGCGAGACUUUGCGAGGGUCCUCGGGGUGCCAAAAAUAAGCCGCGGACAAAGCCGCGCCCAAAAAUAAGUGCCCGAAGGUCGUGGUGCCAAAACCCCCCAGCGGAAAAAUGGCCAAAAAACGGGUGGGCUAUAGCCUUGGUGGGGGGCGCGGGCGAAGUUCGUCUGACGGACUC